rnacentral:rRNA from 1 species
GGUAGCUUGCUACCUGACCUAGCGGCGGACGGGUGAGUAAUGCUUAGGAAUCUGCCUAUUAGUGGGGGACAACAUUCCGAAAGGAAUGCUAAUACCGCAUACGCCCUACGGGGGAAAGCAGGGGAUCUUCGGACCUUGCGCUAAUAGAUGAGCCUAAGUCAGAUUAGCUAGUUGGUGGGGUAAAGGCCUACCAAGGCGACGAUCUGUAGCGGGUCUGAGAGGAUGAUCCGCCACACUGGGACUGAGACACGGCCCAGACUCCUACGGGAGGCAGCAGUGGGGAAUAUUGGACAAUGGGCGCAAGCCUGAUCCAGCCAUGCCGCGUGUGUGAAGAAGGCCUUUUGGUUGUAAAGCACUUUAAGCGAGGAGGAGGCUACCGAGAUUAAUACUCUUGGAUAGUGGACGUUACUCGCAGAAUAAGCACCGGCUAACUCUGUGCCAGCAGCCGCGGUAAUACAGAGGGUGCGAGCGUUAAUCGGAUUUACUGGGCGUAAAGCGUGCGUAGGCGGCUUUUUAAGUCGGAUGUGAAAUCCCUGAGCUUAACUUAGGAAUUGCAUUCGAUACUGGGAAGCUAGAGUAUGGGAGAGGAUGGUAGAAUUCCAGGUGUAGCGGUGAAAUGCGUAGAGAUCU